rnacentral:rRNA from 1 species
UACAGAGGUCUCAACCGUUGUUCGGAUUCAUUGGGCGUAAAGGGUGCGUAGGCGGUCGCGCAAGUCGGAUGUGAAAUCUCAGGGCUCAACCCUGAAACUGCAUUCGAUACUGCGUGGCUAGAGUGCUGGAGAGGAGACUGGAAUUUACGGUGUAGCAGUGAAAUGCGUAGAUAUCGUAAGGAAGACCAGUGGCGAAGGCGAGUCUCUGGACAGCAACUGACGCUGAGGCACGAAGGCCAGGGAGCAAACGGG